rnacentral:rRNA from 1 species
UACGUAGGUGGCAAGCGUUGUCCGGAAUUAUUGGGCGUAAAGGGCGCGUAGGCGGUACCUUAAGUCAGAUGUGAAAACCCGAGGCUUAACUUCGGAGGUGCAUUUGAAACUGGGGAACUAGAGUGCAGGAGAGGUAAGUGGAAUUCCUAGUGUAGCGGUGAAAUGCGUAGAUAUCGGGAGGAACACCUGUGGCGAAAGCGGCUCACUGGACCACAACUGACGCUGAGGCGCGAAAGCUAGGGGAGCAAACAGG